rnacentral:rRNA from 1 species
UACGUAGGCAGCGAGCGUUGUUCGGAGUUACUGGGCGUAAAGAGCUCGUAGGCGGUUCGGUAAGUCGGGUGUGAAACCUCCAGGCUCAACCUGGAGACGCCACCCGAUACUGCUGUGACUAGAGUCCGGUAGGGGAGCGUGGAAUUCCUGGUGUAGCGGUGAAAUGCGCAGAUAUCAGGAGGAACACCAGCGGCGAAGGCGGCGCUCUGGGGCCGGAACUGACGCUGAGGAGCGAAAAGCGUGGGGGAGCAAAACAGG